rnacentral:snoRNA from 1 species
GUUCAUUUAAAAUGAAAAUUGUCUUUUCCCCAUGGGGGCCCAGUGUGCAAUGGCUGCCAACAGCAGCCUCCUUGGUAGUGUAUGCAACUUGUUGCCUGUACAGGUUGCCCUAAGGGACCUUGGAGACAACU